rnacentral:rRNA from 1 species
GAUCAUGGCUCAGGAUGAACGCUAGCUACAGGCUUAACACAUGCAAGUCGAGGGGAAGCGACAUCGAAAGCUUGCUUUUGAUGGGCGUCGACCGGCGCACGGGUGAGUAACGCGUAUCCAACCUGCCCAUCACUUGGGAAUAACCUUGCGAAAGUAAGACUAAUGCCCCAAAUGAUAUCCCACGAAGGCAUCCGAAUGGGAUUAAAGAUUAUCGGUGAUGGAUGGGGAUGCGU